rnacentral:rRNA from 1 species
AAGCUCGUAGUUGAAUUUCGGGGUUAGUAGGUUGGUCAUGCCUCCGGUAUGUACUGGUCUCACUGAUUCCUCCUUCCUGAUGAACCGUAAUGCCAUUAAUUUGGUGUUGCGGGAAAUUUGGACUGUUACUUUGAAAAAAUUAGAGUGUUUAAAGCAAGCUAACGCUUGAAUACAUUAGCAUGGAAUAAUGAAAUAGGACGUUCGAUCCUAUUUUGUUGGUUUCUAGGAUUGACGUAAUGAUUAAUAGGGAUAGUUGGG